CAGUCGCCACGGUAAUACGAAGGGUGCAAGCGUUAAUCGGAAUUACUGGGCGUAAAGCGUGCGUAGGCGGUUUGUUAAGUCUGCUGUGAAAUCCCCGGGCUCAACCUGGGAAUGGCAGUGGAUACUGGCAAGCUAGAGUGUGUCAGAGGAUGGUGGAAUUCCCGGUGUAGCGGUGAAAUGCGUAGAGAUCGGGAGGAACAUCAGUGGCGAAGGCGGCCAUCUGGGACAACACUGACGCUGAGGCACGAAAGCGUGGGGAGCAAACAGGAUUAGAUACCCGGGUAGUCCCUGUCUCUAUACA
rnacentral:rRNA from 1 species